ACCCUUCAGAUAGAUGCUGUUCACCAGGUUACCCUACAGGUAUAUUAGAUAGAUGCUGUUCACCAGGUUACCCUACAGGUAUAUUAGAUAGAUGCUGUACACCAGGUUACCCUACAGGUAUAUUAGAUAGAUGCUGUACACCAGGUUACCCUACAGGUAUAUUAGAUAGAUGCUGUUCACCAGGUUACCCUUCAGAUAGAUGCUGUUCACCAGGUUACCCUUCAGAUAGAUGCUGUUCACCAGGUUACCCUACAGGUAUAUUAGAUAGAUGCUGUAUACCAGGUUACCCUACAGGUAUAUUAGAUAGAUGCUGUUCACCAGGUUACCCUACAGGUAUAUUAGAUAGAUGCUGUUCACCAGGUUACCCUACAGGUAUAUUAGAUAGAUGCUGUUCACCAGGUUACCCUACAGGUAUAUUAGAUAGAUGCUGUACACCAGGUUACCCUACAGGUAUAUUAGAUAGAUGCUGUUCACCAGGUUACCCUUCAGAUAGAUGCUGUUCACCAGGUUACCCUACAGGUAUAUUAGAUAGAUGCUGUUCACCAGGUUACCCUACAGGUAUAUUAGAUAGAUGCUGUUCACCAGGUUACCCUACAGGUAUAUUAGAUAGAUGCUGUUCACCAGGUUACCCUACAGGUAGGUAGGUAUAUUAGACUUGGGCUAGACCUCUGGUCACUGCAGUCCACAGGAGGAACUGACACACGAGUGUGAAAGAGAGAGUGAACAAGCGAGAGCGAGGGGACUCUUAAUGAUAACUUUGUCUAUUCUAUAAAGGCCUGCUUGUUGUGACACGCUGAACUGGGGAGGGGGCGGGGUUUUACCACGAGCGCAAUCCGUACGAUUGACUCACCUAGGCCUGUCCGUUCGUCUGUGUGUGUGUUGGGUGCUUGUUGCUGCAUGUGUGUGUGUGUGUGUGGUG